rfam:TPA: Bos taurus chromosome 15, whole genome shotgun sequence.
UCCCUGGUGGCUCAGAGGAUAAAGCAUCUGCUUGCAAUGCAGGAGACCCAGGUUCGAUCCCUGGGUUGGGAA